rnacentral:misc_RNA from 1 species
UUGGGAGAUGAGAGUCUUGUUGAAUGGGCACGGCCUUUGCUUGGUCAUGCACUAGCCAAUGAAGAGUUUGACAGCUUGGUUGAUCCAAGGCUUGAAAAGAACUAUAAUGAAAGUGAAAUGUUUAGAAUGAUUGAGGCUGCAGCAGCAUGCGUGCGGCAUUCAGCUGCCAAAAGGCCAAGGAUGGGACAGGUUGUUAGAGCAUUUGAUAGUUUAGCUGCUGCCGAUCUAAGCAACGGAAUGAGAGUUGGGGAAAGUGAGGUAUUCAACUCAGCAGAACAGUCUGCAGAAAUUAGAUUAUUUCGGAGGAUGGCAUUUGGUAGUCAAAAUUACAGUACGGAUUUUUUUACCCAAGGCAGUGUGGAUAGUUAAGAGAACAUGGUGAAUAUUAUUAGCAGAGAUGAAUACAUCUAUUGUCAGUGGGUUUUGUCCAGUUGAGAUGGUGCCCCAUGCAAGUUCAAGCUGAUUUAGUCGGAGACAGGCUGAGCACCUUUAGAUAUACGGGAUGUAUAUAUCUGGAAUGACUGCAUCUGGCAUGGGGACUGGAUUUUAAACCCCAAUUACUAGUUAUUAGGUAAUUUUAGCUUUUGCGUAUAAAAGAUGCUGCGAUUCUUUUUGCUUGUAACUAGCUCAUGCAAAUUUUGUUCCUGCAUAGUUUUAAUAAGAUAACGAUUCAAUUUUUUUUUUUUUUUUAAAAAAAAA